AUUGAACGCUGGCGGCAGGCCUAACACAUGCAAGUCGAACGAGUGGCGGACGGGUGAGUAAUGUCUGGGAAACUGCCUGACGGAGGGGGAUAACUACUGGAAACGGUAGCUAAUACCGCAUACCAUCGGAUGUGCCCAGAUGGGAUUAGCUAGCCGGUGGGGUAAAGGCUCACCUAGGCGACGAUCCCUAGCUGGUCUGAGAGGAUGACCGGCCACAAUGGAACUGAGCCACGGUCCAGACUCCGACGGGAGGCAGCAGUGGGGAAUAUUGCACAAUGGGCGCAAGCCUGAUUCAGCCAUGCCGCGUGUAUGAAGAAGGCUUUCGGGUUGUAAAGUACUUUCAUCGGGGAGGCGUUACCCGCAGAAGAAGCACCGGCUAACUCCGUGCCAGCAGCCGCGGUAAUUC
rnacentral:rRNA from 1 species